rnacentral:rRNA from 1 species
GAGGUGGCAAGCGUUGUUCGGAAUUACUGGGCGUAAAGGGCGCGUAGGCGGCCUUCUAAGUCAGACGUGAAAUCCCCAGGCUUAACUUGGGAACUGCGUCUGAUACUGGAGGGCUCGAGUGCGGGAGAGGGAUGUGGAAUUCCAGGUGUAGCGGUGAAAUGCGUAGAUGUCUGGAGGAACACCGGUGGCGAAGGCGGCAUCCUGGACCGACACUGACGCUGAGGCGCGAAAGCUAGGGGAGCAAACGGGAUUAGAUACCCCGGUAGUCCUAGCCCUAAACGAUGAGUGCUUGGUGUGGCGGGUAUCGAUCCCUGCCGUGCCGAAGCUAACGCAUUAAGCACUCCGCCUGGGGAGUACGGUCGCAAGGCUG